AGUGAACGCUGGCGGUAGGCCUAACACAUGCAAGUCGAACGGCAGCACAGUAAGAGCUUGCUCUUACGGGUGGCGAGUGGCGGACGGGUGAGGAAUACAUCGGACUCUACUUUUUCGUGGGGGAUAACGUAGGGAAACUUAAGCUAAUACCGCAUACGACCUACGGGUGAAAGCAGGGGAUCUUCGGACCUUGCGCGGUUGAAUGAGCCGAUGUUGGAUUAGCUAGUUGGCGGGGUAAAGGCCCACCAAGGCGACGAUCCGUAGCUGGGCUGAGAGGAUGAUCAGCCACACUGGAACUGAGACACGGUCCAGACUCCUACGGGAGGCAGCAGUGGGGAAUAUUGGACAAUGGGCGCAAGCCUGAUCCAGCCAUGCAGCGUGGGUGAAGAAGGCCUUCGGGUGGUAAAGCCCUUUUGUUGGGAAAGAAAAGCAGCAGGUUAAUACCCCGCUGUUCGGACGGUACCCAAAGAAUAAGCACCGGCUAACUUCGU
rnacentral:rRNA from 1 species